rnacentral:rRNA from 1 species
AGAGUUUGAUCCUGGCUCAGGACGAACGCUGGCGGCGUGCUUAACACAUGCAAGUCGAACGGAAAGGCCCUGCUUUUGUGGGGUGCUCGAGUGGCGAACGGGUGAGUAACACGUGAGUAACCUGCCCUUGACUUUGGGAUAACUUCAGGAAACUGGGGCUAAUACCGGAUAGGAGCUCCUGCUGCAUGGUGGGGGUUGGAAAGUUUCGGCGGUUGGGGAUGGACUCGCGGCUUAUCAGCUUGUUGGUGGGGUAGUGGCUUACCAAGGCUUUGACGGGUAGCCGGCCUGAGAGGGUGACCGGCCACAUUGGGACUGAGAUACGGCCCAGACUCCUACGGGAGGCAGCAGUGGGGAAUAUUGCACAAUGGGCGGAAGCCUGAUGCAGCAACGCCGCGUGCGGGAUGACGGCCUUCGGGUUGUAAACCGCUUUCGCCUGUGACGAAGCGUGAGUGACGGUAAUGGGUAAAGAAGCACCGGCUAACUACGUGCCAGCAGCCGCGGUGAUACGUAGGGUGCGAGCGUUGUCCGGAUUUAUUGGGCGUAAAGGGCUCGUAGGUGGUUGAUCGCGUCGGAAGUGUAAUCUUGGGGCUUAACCCUGAGCGUGCUUUCGAUACGGGUCGACUUGAGGAAAGGUAGGGGAGAAUGGAAAUUCCUGGUGGAGCGGUGGAAUGCGCAGAUAUCAGAGGAACACCAGUGGCGAAAGCGGUUCUCUGGGCCUUUCCUGACGCUGAGGAGCGAAAGCGUGGGGAGCGAACAGGCUUAGAUACCCUGGUAGUCCACGCUGUAAACGGUGGGUACUAGGUGUGGGGUCCAUUUCCACGGGUUCCGCGCCGUAGCUAACGCUUUAAGUACCCCGCCUGGGGAGUACGGCCGCAAGGCUAAAGCUCAAAGGAAUUGACGGGGCCCCGCACAAGCGGCGGAGCAUGCGGAUUAAUUCGAUGCAACGCGUAGAACCUUACCUGGGUUUGACAUGGAUCGGGAGUGCUCAGAGAUGGGUGUGCCUCUUUUGGGGUCGGUUCACAGGUGGUGCAUGGCUGUCGUCAGCUCGUGUCGUGAGAUGUUGGGUUAAGUCCCGCAACGAGCGCAACCCUUGUUCACUGUUGCCAGCACGUUAUGGUGGGGACUCAGUGGAGACCGCCGGGGUCAACUCGGAGGAAGGUGGGGAUGACGUCAAGUCAUCAUGCCCCUUAUGUCCAGGGCUUCACGCAUGCUACAAUGGCUGGUACAGAGAGUGGCGAGCCUGUGAGGGUGAGCGAAUCUCGGAAAGCCGGUCUCAGUUCGGAUUGGGGUCUGCAACUCGACCUCAUGAAGUCGGAGUCGCUAGUAAUCGCAGAUCAGCAACGCUGCGGUGAAUACGUUCCCGGGGCUUGUACACACCGCCCGUCAAGUCAUGAAAGUUGGUAACACCCGAAGCCGGUGGCCUAACCGUUGUGGGGGAGCCGUCGAAGGUGGGACUGGUGAUUAGGACUAAGUCGUAACAAGGUAGCCGUACCGGAAGGUGCGGCUGGAUCACCUCCU